rnacentral:misc_RNA from 1 species
UCAAAGUCAAGUCGGGGCUGCAAAGCCUUCGUCUACACCCAUGUCUUUUGCGUACUUCUUGUUUUCCUCGGUGGCGCAAGCCGCCGAUUGGACAAACCAAACCUUUUUUGUAAUUGCAAUCAGCGUCUGAAAAUAAUCUAAUUAUUUA